AUCAUUACUGAAAGAUAGACAAGGNCCAUGCUGGCUCUCUAACCGAGAGUAUGUGCUCGUCUUGUCGUUUUUCUACUCUCCACAGUGCACCUUUGUAGGCUCUAUGAUACCUUUCAGUCUGUAUCAGACUGGUUUGAAGUCUAGCUCACGCUUUUCUUCUACCUUUCGUAGGCCUACGUCUUAUACACACUACAAAAAGUCUAUUGAAUGUCCUUUUGUUGGUUGUAACAGACCAAUAGAACUCUAUACAACUUUCAGCAACGGAUCUCUUGGCUCUCGCAUCGAUGAAGAACGCAGCGAAAUGCGAUAAGUAAUGUGAAUUGCAGAAUUCAGUGAAUCAUCGAAUCUUUGAACGCACCUUGCACCCUUUGGUAUUCCGAAGGGUACGCCUGUUUGAGCGUCAUUAAAUUCUCAAAGACUCCGUUCUUUUUGGAUGGAGUCCUUUGGAUGUGAGGGUUGCUGGUUGUUACCGAUCAGACUCCCUUGAAAUACAUUAGUGGGUAUCCAGUCCACUCAAGUGUGAUAGUCUAUCUACGCUUGCGAUUGGAGUUGGAAUAGACCGCUUCUAACCGUCCGUAUGGACAAUAAGACUCUUGUUGAUACCUUUCAGUCGCAAGACUGGUUGUGAAGUCUGUUAACCCUUACUUCAACCUUUCAAUCUCGAGUCGCUCUUGACAUUUGACCUCAAAUCAGGUGGGACUACCCGCUGAACUUAAGCAUAUCAAUAAGCGGAGGAAAAGAAACUAACAAGGAUUCCCCUAGUAACUGCGAGUGAAGCGGGAAAAGCUCAAAUUUGAAAUCUGGCAGUCCUUGCGGCUGUCCGAGUUG
rnacentral:rRNA from 1 species